rnacentral:lncRNA from 1 species
GCUUACUCAUGAAUGAAAGAGGAUAUGAGUCUUGUUCUAGUUUCUUUGCCUCCCAACUCAACUACUUAAAACAUAUUAUUUUUCUUUCUCUGUAAUAAAACCAUAGCUCUAGCUAGUAGUGAGGGGCAAGAUAGCGGGAUGUGGAUGUGAGGUGAUGAGUUUUUAUUUUUAUUUUUAUUUUUAUUGUGUGUAUUUAGAGGUAAUUUGGAAAGAUAUUGGGAUUUUCUUAAAAAUUGUAAACAUUUAAAUUAAAAGUUGAGAUAAACUUAAAGUAUGGAGUGACUAAAGAGAAGUGCUUUCUGAAUUUAAAUAGAAAAAACUCUACAAAUAAUCCUGUAAGCAAUUGAAAGCCAAAAUAAAGUAGAUGUGAUUUUGACCAAUUGCAAGUUCAAUUUUGACCACUGAGUAUCUGUCAAGAGAAUGACAGUUUUCCAGCUACUUAAUUAAGGUGCAUUAUGAGUCUUUGUUUUCACCCGUGCAACUACCGCCGGAGUUCACUUACUUCAAUGGCAGAUGAAAUCAUAAAGCUGUCUGGGUAGGUUUUGAUUUUUGUUUUGGAGACCAUAUAUAUGCAGGGGCAGCACUGUGAGAUCCUCAGUCACUCAGUAACGAAGAGAGUGGAUGGUUGAGAUCCUCAGUCCCGCUGUCAGUAGUUCUUAUUGGCGUGCGAUUUGUAAACUUUUAUAUAAAUUUAAAUUAAUGGCAAUUGGCAGUUGGGUGUCAUGCAUAAGUCCUUUCAACUCGAGGUUGUGGGUAUGCCCUGGCGUUGAUAGUGAAAGUAGCCAAUUUCCCUCUAAACUUUUUUUUUUUCAUUAAAAAAAGAAUAGAAAAAAGAGUGGUUUGUUAUUAUUGGUUAAGAAGAUAAAGACGUUAUAGAAAUUGUCGCAGGG